rnacentral:rRNA from 1 species
GUGGGGAAUUUUGGACAAUGGGGGCAACCCUGAUCCAGCCAUGCCGCGUGCGGGAAGAAGGCCUUCGGGUUGUAAACCGCUUUUGUCAGGGAAGAAAUCCUUUGGGUUAAUACCUCGGAGGGAUGACGGUACCUGAAGAAUAAGCACCGGCUAACUACGUGCCAGCAGCCGCGGUAAUACGUAGGGUGCGAGCGUUAAUCGGAAUUACUGGGCGUAAAGCGUGCGCAGGCGGUUUUGUAAGAUCGAUGUGAAAUCCCCGGGCUCAACCUGGGAACUGCAUUGGUGACUGCAAGGCUGGAGUGCGGCAGAGGGGGAUGGAAUUCCGCGUGUAGCAGUGAAAUGCGUAGAUAUGCGGAGGAACACCGAUGGCGAAGGCAAUCCCCUGGGCCUGCACUGACGCUCAUGCACGAAAGCGUGGGGAGCAAACAGGAUUAGAAACCCUGUAGUCC